GCAUAACGCGAAGAACCUUACCCACCUUUGACAUGUACGGAAUCCUGCAGAGAUGCGGGAGUGCUCGCAAGAGAGCCAUGACACAGGUGCUGCAUGGCUGUCGUCAGCUCGUGUCGUGAGAUGUUGGGUUAAGUCCCGCAACGAGCGCAACCCUUGCCAUCAGUUGCUACGAAAGGGCACUCUGAUGGGACUGCCGGUGACAAACCGGAGGAAGGUGGGGAUGACGUCAAGUCCUCAUGGCCCUUAUAGGUGGGGCUACACACGUCAUACAAUGGCCGGUACAAAGGGCAGCGAAGCCGCGAGGUGAAGCCAAUCCCAUAAAGCCGGUCGUAGUCCGGAUCGCAGUCUGCAACUCGACUGCGUGAAGUCGGAAUCGCUAGUAAUCGUGGAUCAGAAUGCCACGGUGAAUACGUUCCCGGGUCUUGUACACACCG
rnacentral:rRNA from 1 species